UACAGAGGGGGCAAGCGUUAUUCGGAAUUAUUGGGCGUAAAGGGCGCGUAGGCGGCCUGGCAAGUGGAUGGUGAAAUCCCUCGGCUUAACCGAGGAACUGCCAUCCAGACUGCUUGGCUUGAGACCGGGAGAGGUGAGUGGAAUUCCCAGUGUAGCGGUGAAAUGCGUAGAUAUCUGGAGGAACACCGGUGGCGAAGGCGGCAUCCUGGACCGGUAUUGACGCUGAGGCGCGAAAGCCAGGGGAGCAAACGGG
rnacentral:rRNA from 1 species